rnacentral:rRNA from 1 species
UACGUAGGGUGCGAGCGUUGUCCGGAAUUACUGGGCGUAAAGAGCUCGUAGGUGGUUUGUCACGUCGUCUGUGAAAUUCCGGGGCUUAACCUCGGGCGUGCAGGCGAUACGGGCAAUACUUGAGUGCUGUAGGGGAGACUGGAAUUCCUGGUGUAGCGGUGGAAUGCGCAGAUAUCAGGAGGAACACCGAUGGCGAAGGCAGGUCUCUGGGCCACUACUGACGCUGAGGAGCGAAAGCAUGGGUAGCGAACAGGAUUAGAUA